rnacentral:lncRNA from 1 species
AUUAAUUAGUUUAUAAUUAAAUUCAUUAUUAUUAUUUUUAUUAUUAUUUCGUUGAGAUUAAGAAGCUCAUUAAUUAAUUUAUAUUAACUCAUCUUGUUUAAAUUUUAAUCAAAUUCACCGAUUAAAUUCAAUUGGCUAUAAUUUUAAUCAAAUGAGUUAAAUUGUCAAUUCAAAUUUAACCUCCCCCCUUACUUCACACUAAUCCAUUUGUGAUGAAUUGACCUGGGCCCUAUUUGUAAAUUCUGGCGGCCCAUCUCAUUUUGUCCAAUUCUUAUUUCCAUUCCCUUCAGCCAAUCCCAAAAUCCAGCCCACCCAAGAUAUUCCCAGCCCAUCCAUACAUGCAACAAUACAAUAAUACACUCCCAAACAACAAAAACCUCUUCCAGCCGCCUCAACCCACUCCAAAACAGUACCCAACCCCUGUUGCUCUUCUUCUUCACGUGAAGAUCGAAAUCCAACGAGCAAAUCGCGCUGCAAACUUGAAAAUCUCAUCCAAACCCAUACCCUGGCAUCCCUAAUGUCAAACCCUCACGUCCCCUUUCCCCCAUUUUAAGGGAUUUUUUCAAAGCUUUCUACUGUUGUCUUGAAAAGGGGCAGAAUGAAUUCAAAUUUGGAAUUCAAUUUUUCACGCGAUUUCCCCCUAAUUUCCAUCUAUAUAUUCAUCUAUUUUAGUCACUUUGGGGGAGUUCCUUUUUUAGAAGUUGGAGUUUUCAGAAAAUAAGCACUUUACACUUUAGAAUUUCGCAUUUAAUCCUUUGAUUCUAAGUUCCGAUUCUCUUGGCUUGCUGUUCAUAUUGAGAUUUCGUGAUAGAAGAGUCGCUGCUCACAACUCGUUUGUCCUAGUCUCGCUGCCCCGGAAGAGGUAAAGCUCUUCCCUUUGCAAUACUCUUUUUGCCCUUUGCUAUUUUGACUUGGCGUUAUUCGUCGUAGUAUGUUUCUGUCCUUCGAGUUCUUAAUGUCUUAAUUUGAGAUUCUUAUAGCGUUGUUUUAGUUGACUUAAAUUUAAGCUGUAAGUUUUGGUGUAUAUAAUUCUUUGACUGUAAAUCGUUAUACUCAUCUAAAAUCGAUUCGUAUAUUGCUCGAUAAUCUUACUCGUUGUCUUUUUUUUUAAAAUUUAUUUGCUUAGUGUGAGUUCUCUUCAUGCUCAUUUGGUCUCUAGUACUUGGAAUUCUUUCUCCCUGUAUAUCCCCUGCUCAAUAUAGGUUAUUAAAAUAUGCAUUCAAAUACUUCUCGUGUAUUAUUCCUAUUUUUGAAAGCUAAUCCGCUUUUCAAGUUUAGAUGUAGCAUGUUUAUUUGAACUAGUUAAUAGAAAGGUUUGAAGGUGAAGCCUCUCCAUUCCGUGAAGCUAGUGAACUAGUUGACGGUCUGAUUUAAUACAAGUGCGAGAUGAGUCUUUUUUGGAUUAGAAAGUAGUCAUUUGAGUUAGAUCUUUAACGAGGUUUGAGUUCGCUAAUUCUUAUCUAAAUCGAUGAGUUGGGUCUUAUUUUAGGAGCAUGUUAUAGGUUGUUUCUUUCUUGGUGAAGCAUAUAGUCAAGUAACUGGUUUGCUCUCCUCUUCUCUGUAAUUAUGUUGGCUUUAGAAGUUAUUGUUUCGAGUAUGGAUUAGAGUCAUCGCAUGUCCAUUCUUAAUUCAUUUUUUUAUGCGACUCAAGCAUUCCCAUUAACAUAUAUAGAAUUGUUAUCCUUGUCAAGCAUACCUUUGGUGAUGUAUAUUUGGAUUGUCUUGGAUUUUUGUGUAGUAAUUUUAUCUCGCGCAAGCUAUAUUUUCUGCCCAUUUGCUCUCUUUUUCUUUGUGUGUUGAUAUGUUUGGUUAUUUCUUUUGUACUUGUUGCACCAUUUCGAAUGCUAAUGUUGUCUCUUUUCGCUUGUUGUAUGAACCCCUCCCGAGUCCAUGAUGGACUUCUCUUCUUUGCAUUGCCGAGUUGAGCCAUAAAAGCUCUUUUCUUUGUCAUUCGAGUUGGCCAGGCCAUCGAGAGUAGGUGUACAUGUGGAAAGCAUCAAAUAGGGCCUGAAAUUGGAUUAACAGGUUCUGGAAAGCUGAAAGCAGGCUGAGGUACAGCAUGUAUACAUUGGUAUACCAGCUGUAUACAUACUAAAAUACCAUAUACAUGUCCAAAAACGAAAAUACAGGUUGGAGACAUCAAAAUGAAUCGUAUACAAUUGGUAUACGGUUCAAUAUACAGGAAAAUGGGCCAUGACACGACCUGUAUACAGCUGUAUACAUUUGGUGUAUAUAUAAAAUUUCAAGGGGCCAAAGUAGGGCCAAAGCCCAAACAAUUGCAGCAGGCCCAAGGAGGCCCAAAUUCAUUUCUCCUUUACUCUUAACUUAUUCAAUUGUGUGAUUAUUAUUUUUAUUAUUUAACUCUAACUUUCAAUUAACUUAAUUAAGAUUCCCCAAAAGAUGAGUUAUUUCUUUGUGUUGGUGUGCUUUAAAAUUAUUAUUUUUUGUGUUGAGG